AUUGAACGCUGGCGGCAGGCUUAACACAUGCAAGUCGAGCGGGGUGAUGGUGCUUGCACUAUCACUUAGUGGCGGACGGGUGAGUAAUGCUUAGGAAUCUGCCUAUUAGUGGGGGACAACAUCUCGAAAGGGAUGCUAAUACCGCAUACGUCCUACGGGAGAAAGCAGGGGAUCACUUGUGACCUUGCGCUAAUAGAUGAGCCUAAGUCGGAUUAGCUAGUUGGUGGGGUAAAGGCCUACCAAGGCGACGAUCUGUAGCGGGUCUGAGAGGAUGAUCCGCCACACUGGGACUGAGUCACGGCCCAGACUCCUACGGGAGGCAGCAGUGGGGAAUAUUGGACAAUGGGGGGAACCCUGAUCCAGCCAUGCCGCGUGUGUGAAGAAGGCCUUAUGGUUGUAAAGCACUUUAAGCGAGGAGGAGGCUCUUUUGGUUAAUACCCAGAAUGAGUGGACGUUACUCGCAGAAUAAGCACCGGCUAACUCUGUGCCAGCCGCCGCAGUAA
rnacentral:rRNA from 1 species